CGAUCAGUGCUCUCCCAUCUGUACCACUCCCCGGAGGAGGAUGCUGAGAUUCGUAUCAAUGUCUACCUGGCCCUGAUGAGAUGCCCCAGUGAAGAGGUGUUUGCUCAGGUGCGGCGCACCCAGGCAGGCGAGCUGUCCACCCAGGCUUGGGCUCUGGCUGGAAAAUGCUGAGGAAAUUGCUCGCAGGCUGUUUGGCAGGAACUCAUUCUGGGGUCAGCAAGAUGGAAGAGAGGCUCAGGCAGAGAAGCCCCCAGGACCAGAACAUGGGCCUGCACCACGGCCAGCCAGCCCCAAGUGUCCAGGAGACAGAGCUAGAAGGAUGAGAGACCUUCAGCAGAAGGUGACCCAGAGGCGGGGGGGUCCAGCAGCCUCUGCGAUGCGAGCUGAGCAUGAAGGUGCUGGGGCAGGAGCUGAGUUUUGUAAACUGUGGGGCCACAGGGAGUCACGUGAAGCACCAGUCCCUGAGCCUGGCAGAGCUCGCCAUCAAGCUCCUGAAGGGGCAAGAGGUCCAGAUUAACCGGAGGCUGAGCCUGGCCGCAGAGGAGCUGGUCUUUCCCACAGUGUCUGGCCUCCCUGCUCUGCUGACCCUAAACGCCUCGGCCGCUAUCAGCAUCCGGGUCCGAGGAGUCGCCGACUUCCAGCAGCACUCGGAUUUCUCUGUGAAUGGUUAUGUCAAGCCCAGAAGGCAGGAGAGGAGCUACCUUGACCUCACUGAAUGGGUGCAACCCCCGACCCAGCAAGGCUGGUGCUUCUUACUCCCACUGACAGAUGAGGAAACCAAGGUUCAAGUGCCCUGCUCCAGAUCUCGGCUCAGAUGGGCACAACGGGAGCCUUGGGGCAGGCUGGGCUGCGGUGGGUGACCAGCGUCCGCAGCACCGCCAGCCUGGAUGGAGGGAUCCAGCUGCAGAAGGGCCAGGACCUCAAGGUGCAUCUGAACACGCCCGAGGAGGCUGUGGAGCUGCUCAGCUUCAGGUGGGUGCCCUGUGCCAGCAAGCAGGGAACCAUGAGCACGAGAGUGUAUGUGAG
rnacentral:lncRNA from 13 species